AAAGCUCUUGCAGCUGGUUGCUCCAGGCUCCUGGGACUUUGACUCGCCUGACCGUCGAGCUCCUGGCCAGGGGUGUCCGGGGAUGCCGCUCUGACGCUUUCUACGAGGAGCUUAACCCGCCCUGCUGCCGCCCGGAUGGGACCGCCGGAGUGCUCUAAAGUCUGCCGUGAAUAUUGAAUUGCUGAGGAAUUUGGGGAAAGACAAGCUGAAGUUCCCAUUCCAUGGAUCCCUUGGGUGCACCUUCCCAGUUUGUGGAUGUGGAUACACUACGAAGCUGGGGCGACUCAUGGGAAGAUGAAUUAGAUACUUCUGAUACUGCAGCUGAAACGUUUCAGGAAAACACUAUUAGAUCACCUUUUCUUUACAAUAAGAAUAUCAAUGGGAAAGUGGUUCUUUGGAAAGGAGAUGUGGCAUUACUGAACUGUACAGCCAUUGUGAAUACCAGCAAUGAAAAUCUUACAGAUAAGAACCCUGUGUCAGAGAGUAUCUUCAUGCUUGCAGGACCUGAUUUGAAGGAGGACCUCCAGAAACUUAAGGGUUGCCGGACAGGUGAAGCCAAACUGACAAAAGGAUUUAAUCUAGCUGCCCGGUUCAUCAUUCACACGGUGGGACCUAAAUACAAGAGCCGCUACCGCACAGCUGCUGAGAGUUCCCUGUACAGCUGCUACAGAAACGUGCUUCAGCUGGCCAAAGAGCAAUCAAUGUCUUCUGUGGGAUUCUGUGUCAUCAAUUCUGCAAAACGAGGUUAUCCUUUAGAGGAUGCAACACACAUAGCACUUCACUUGCCUAUUAAAUUGGGAAAUGAUACCAGGCCAAGAACUAUGGCCAACGCAUUGGGCACUGUAAGGAGAUUCCUAGAAAUUCAUGGGGAGACCAUUGAAAAAGUAGUAUUUGCUGUCUCUGAACUAGAAGAGGCUACUUACCAAAAGCUGCUACCUCUGUACUUCCCAAGGUCACUAAAGGAGGAAUGUCGAUCAUUGCCAUACCUACCUGCAGAUAUUGGAAAUGCAGAAGGGGAGCCUGUGGUACCUGAACGGCAGAUUAGAAUAAGUGAAAAACCUGGUGCCCCGGAGGACAGCCAAGAAGAGGAGGCUGAGGGCUUGGGAGUUGACCUCUCUUUCAUCGGCUCUCAUGCUUUUGCUCGAAUGGAAGGAGAUAUUGACAAGCAAAGAAGACUGAUCCUUCAGGGACAGUUAUCAGAGGCAGCCCUGCAGAAGCAGCAUCAAAGAAAUUAUAAUCGCUGGUUAUGUCAAGCAAGAUCUGAGGAUCUAUCUGAUAUUGCUUCUCUAAAAGCCUUAUACCAAACAGGUGUUGAUAACUGUGGUCGCACAGUGAUGGUGGUAGUUGGAAGAAACAUUCCUGUCACAUUAAUAGACAUGGACAAGGCUCUCUUAUAUUUUAUCCAUGUAAUGGAUCACAUUGCUGUGAAGGAAUAUGUAUUAGUAUAUUUUCACACACUGACCAGCGAAUACAAUCACCUGGACUCUGACUUCCUGAAGAAACUCUAUGAUGUUGUUGAUGUCAAAUACAAGAGGAAUUUGAAGGCUGUUUAUUUCGUUCAUCCAACAUUUCGUUCAAAGGUAUCAACAUGGUUUUUUACCACCUUUUCUGUCUCAGGACUGAAGGACAAAAUCCACCAUGUGGACAGCCUCCACCAGCUAUUCUCUGCCAUAUCACCAGAACAGAUUGACUUUCCUCCUUUUGUCCUUGAAUAUGAUGCCAGGGAAAAUGGGCCUUACUAUACAUCUUAUCCCGCAUCACCAGAUUUGUGACCUGCCAUCUUUUAGUUCUACUGGUUUCCAAGGACGUCACUUUCUCCACGAAUCGCUACCUGUUGAAGUGAAAUUCAUUUUUGCUGUUCAGAUCCAGAGAGCCUUUUGUCCCCACCUCUCUGGUAUUUUUUUAUUGACUGUAUAUUUUCUGGCACAUAAGCAAUCUGACAAUAGUAGGCCAUUCUGAACUGCACACUUAUUUUAAAUUUGUAUAUUUGUAUCAAAUGAAAAUGUUCAUUUUUAGAGGGUUGUUAAUAGAAAUUGGGGAGCAACUUUUGAGUAUCUUCAGUUUCCUGAAAGGACACUGGAUUUUCCAUUAGACAAGCCGCCAAUAUUGUUCACGCCAUCUCUUUAACAUUGUAUGCUUCCUUUGUGUACUUAAGUGUUUCUCAAAAUAUAUAGAACCAAUGUAUGCUGACCAUAAGCAUUGUUUGCUUCAGAUCCUGGCAUUACAUUUUAUACAGAUAAUUGGGUUAUGGUAAAAUAGAAUUGUCUGGGAUCAAGGAUGUGGAGAUGUAUCUGAUCAAAACAUUGAAAUCAUUAGCAAAAUAUAGGUCUUAGAAUCUUACUGCACCAGUGAAGAUUAAGAUUUUGGAUUAUAUGAUUUGUUGAGAUUGUGACUGUUCUGGUGUCAACAGUGGGGGAAAACAAGAAGACUGUAUCUUCCGCCUUUUUCCUGUAAUCAUGGGUGAUUUGGUGUCCUUUUUCUAAAAGGCUGCACUCAUUAGUACUCUUAUGCGAAAGGCAUCUCCUAGACUCCAUCAGUGAGCCUUUAGAGAGGGUGCUGUCUCCCCAGAGUUGUGAUUUUGUUGGGCUUUAUAGCUACUCCCUCUAAGGACAUUUCCUCACAGUGUCUCUUGAGUUGCCUAUGUCAAAAUGGAGGAAGUGUGUUGCAGUGAACAGAAUUCCAGACUGCUGUUGCCACUCAGGCUCUAUUUGUGCCUUAGCUCGCUUAUGAAUAAAAAUUAGGAUUAUGAUACCGACCUCACAGAGGUAUCAUAAGGCUAACAUUUAGAAAGGGCUUGUGAUGUCUUUGGAUGCAAAAUGCUAGGGGAGUUUGUGUAGGUGUCGCUUCAGUUAGUUUUUAAAUGAUAAUAAAUGUACUUGGGGGUACUACCAAGCACUCCUCUUGUCCUUGGCACCUUUUGAGUGACUUUUCUUGUCUUAUGACAAGAGCUGUUACUAAAAAAUCCCAGGGCGCCUGGGUGGCUCAGUUGGUUAAGUGACUGCCUUCGGCUCAGGUCAUGAUCCUGGAGUCCCAGGAUCGAGUCCCACAUCAGGCUCCCUGCUCAGCAGGGAGUCUGCUUCUCCCUCUGACCCUCCUCCCUCUCAUGUUCUCUGUCUCUCAUUCUCUCUCUCGCAAAUAAAUAAAAUCUUAAAAAAUAAAAAUAAAAAUAAAAAUAAAAAAUCCCAACCCUGAAGACCGACCUCCUUCCUACUUUGUCCAGAAUUUCUUCUAGCCUCCUCCUCCCCCAGUGCUACACUUUAACAAGAGGCAUCUGUUAGCCAUUUUAAACAUUUCUUCUUGAAUUGAGGUCAAACCAGUAUCAUUUCCAUCUGGGUGUCUUCAUAUUCCUUUUGAUUCCUACACCCACCCGCCCCCCCAUCUCCCUCACUCCAUCAUGUACAUUGGCAGUUCAGAGAAGAAAAAGUAGAACUCUUCUUUGUUCAGGAUCAGUGCUUCCAAAGGUCCUAUUCCUCUGUGCCCAAAUUAAUUCUUCAGUGGAUAAAGGAAACAUAAUUCUUUUAUGACAGAGAAAUCCCCCUAUAGUUGUAUUAGCCCCAUCCUCUAUUUUCCCCUACAAACAAGAAGGGGCUUUACAUUCCUUCAGUAAGUGCUCAUAUCUUUUUGCAUGAAUUGGACACAUUUGCUUUGUGUCAGAAAUCAAAGCCACUUGCUCCUUGUAUAUGCUUAUUGGGUAAGGGUUUCCUGUUACGUUCCCUAGGUCAUCAGAUCCAGACAGCCAGUCAGAUGUCUACAGUAAGCUUCCUCUCAAACAGCACUACUUUCAAUCCCUUAAGCCUUGAACUUUAAAAAUCUGAAAAAUUAGCUUCAUCUUCUCCAGUCUAUUGUUAGAUCAUAUUUGAGGUAUCUUUGUACUAGGAGCAGUUAUAAAAAUAUGUCAGCUUUUCUUUUUUGAAAGUGGACUUGGCUAUCUGAAAUUGGCAUUUGGCCUGAAUCAUUUCCUCUAUAGAUAAUAGAGGCUGCAAGCUACUUUGCCAUUUGAAAGAAAGAAAAUUGAUAUGUAGAAUUUCUUAUAGGCAGUAAUUUUGAAAGAAUGUCCCUUCAUACGAGUAUAUUAAUGUCUAGUAACACAAGCAGGAUUCUAUAUAUAGUGAGAUUCUCAUUCAGUUGAUGUCCUAGGGUAUUAAGGUAGUAUGGAACUGUAAACAUACCAACCGCAUUUCAUAAUUUAAUGGUGACUAAAAAUAAGGGCUGCACUUCUCAGUGAAACUAAAUUUGGUAUGGGACCAAGUUCAUGCUUUUAUAGCUGUCUUAAGUGUUAGGUAAUGAAGUUGUUUCAAUGUAUUAAAUCCUACCGAAGGAACAUAGUGACCUUGAUAGUGAAAUGAUUAUGUAGUGUUCUAUAUAGCUGCCUUUGUCAAAGAUUGGGUUGCCUGGAGAACACAUGCCAUUCUCAGAGACACAUUAGAGGAUAAAAGGAUGACUGGGUGGAGAUGAGUACUAGCAUCUGAUGUUAAUUCAAAGCACCACCAAAUCCUUAAUUAAAUUAAACUUUGGUCAUGCCAAUGCUAGUUGAGGAAGAAAACGUACAAAAUAUUAAGUGAAUUCAUUAAUUCAUGCAAGGCAUAAUAGGAUUUUCUUAAACAAGUACAUUUCUUCAGCAUAUAUUUGGUUCUUCUUAACUCAUCUAUAUCCAAGUUUCUUGAUAGCGAAAAAAACCUCUUGGAAAAAACUGUCUUUAUUAGACUCUCUUAAGGCUUAGAGACCAAGUGGUUUAAGAUUUUCUUUUCUUUAAUAUACAUCUUAUUUCAUUGGCUAGUACUCUAAUAUGUUUAUUUUUUCAAAGAGAUUCAAUUAGUUUGAGACUAAAGAACAGGAUUUUUAGAGUAUUUUUGAUAGGAAAAAUGGGUAUAGAUUUUUUAUCAAAUAUCUGAAAUCUGGAAGGAUUAAAAUAUCUUGCAUUUCUAGAGAGGGUUACGUAUAACCACUCUAGUAGAAAAACAUGGCUUGCCUAUUUCUUCCUGUUUUCUGUUUGCUGAGAGAUCAUUCAGUGAAUUCAAACUGUGGGUAAUGGUUUCUUUUCUUUGCAAUUGCUAAUAGGAAAGUGAUAAAAUGUAGUUUCAGUAUAAGCUAAAAAUCACUCUUUGUGUUUCCCUUGAUUGUCUGUGUAUGUAUAUAUAGAGUUUAUAUUGAUUAAUAUAUGACUAGAAAUUAUUAGAAUUUGAAGCACUAGAAAGAGAAGGAUUAUUAUGGUUCUAAGAACAGUGGAUUGUUUGUAUUAAGGACCCAAAAGACUGCAAAAUAGCAUGUACACCCCUAAAAUUGGAGUUGACCAGUGAGUUUCAAAUUGUUGUUCUCUUACUAAGUUAAAAUCAUCAGUCAACAUGCAGUAGAGUGUUUUACCUAUACUGGCACUUAUAAUAUACUUCAUGGUAUAUGAUUGACUCUUGGGAGGACUCUGCCUUUGACUAGGUCAUAUCAGAAGCGCAGAGAAUAUAAGAAUUGCCUAGUAGGCCAAACCAUAUAUACAUAUGCGUAUAUGUGUGUAUACACGCGCAUGGUAAUCUACUUUGCAUUACAUUCUUCGAAUGUGGUUUCUGUGGCCCAUAUGUAGAGAACAUAGAGCAAUAAAUAACAUAGUUCAAGCUUGGAUUCUAUCAAAAAAGCCCUUAAGCAGAUGACAUCAAGGUCAUUUUAUAUAUUAGUGGCUCUCUUGGAUACUAGUUGUUAAUUUUGUUUUCUUUGCUUCCAGGAAUGGUAUCUAAUCUUUUUAAGUGAAGUAAGUAAUCUUUUUAAGUAGAUGUGUAGGGCCACUGAGUUGAAGGAGAAAAACAUAGAUAUUCUCUAGGUGAAUUACACUAACAAAAUCGUAACUACUGAAUGUGACCUAAUAUUUUUGUUGAACGGUUAAAAUUAAUACAUUUUGUAUACACAGUCAUACUUUUUUUUUUUUUUUUUUGCAAUGUGUUUUGCUAGUGUAAGCACACAGCCAUUAUAAACUGAGCCAGCACUUUGUCAGACCAGUUCUGGUGGGCCGAAAUAUUUAAUUAUGAGCUUAACAUACAUAAAUGAUUUUAAUUGCUAUUGGGCACAGGAGACUUAAAAAUGUUUUAUUGACAUCUUAAAAUUUGUUUAUUCAGAAUUCACAAUGCUUUUAUGAAUACUUUGCAUUGAAAAAUUUAUUUUAGUCUUUCUGAAUUAGAAGUUAAAUUCCAUUUUUUUUUUUAAAAGAUUUUAUUCAUUUAUUUGAUAGAGACACAGCGAGAGAGGGAACACAAGCAGGCGGAGUGGGAGAGGGAGAAGCAGGCUUCCCGCUGAGCAGGGAGCCCGAUGCGGGGCUCGAUCCCAUAACCCUGGGAUCAUGACCUGAGCCGAAGGCAGACGCUCAACGACUGAGCCACCCAGGCGCCCCAAGUUAAAUUCCCUUUAAAGAGGAUCCCACUCUGUGCAAAUAGAGCCUGUGAAGAACCAGUAGUAAAAUGGUAAUGUUUGUAUUGAACCCCAGGGUAGGACAGUCUGUUCUGGUCAUUUACACCUGGCUUUUCUCUAAUCACUGAGAUUAACCUCUGUAGUGGUACAAAAUGCAGUAAAUUUUACUGUCAGCCUUCUCUAUGGGGACCUAGACUAGUGCUUCUCAAACUUUAAUGUGCAUAUAUUAAAUCAGCUGGCAGUAUUAUUAAAAUGCAGAUUCUGAUAUAGUAGCUCUGGGGUGGAGCCUGGGAUUCUAGUUUCUAACAAGUUUGGGUGACCAUCAAUACUCCUGAUACCCCAAGACCACAAGUGAAAGAGCCCAGACUAUAUUCAGGUUCCAUAUUUUCCCUGUUUCAAGGAGAGGAGACACAACUGUCGUAAUCUCUUCGGUGGGCCAGUAACUCAUAUUCAUUAUCUCACUUAAUCCUACAAAUCCUAUGAGGUAGAUGGUGAUAGAGAGGUUAAGUGACCUGCUGACUCCCACGCACACAAGCAGUACAGUAUUGAGCCAUGUUUCUCAAACUUGAAUAAUGCACAUCCCCUUUUAAUAAGGAAAGGCUCUCUGAGUUCCUCCGUUUUUACUACAUUAUUUAUUGUUACCUAAGUAUAUAUAAACAUAAAGCUACAUGUAAUGCCUUAUGCUUAUAGCUCUAGCACAAGUAUAAAACCCAAAGAAGUUUAUAGAUAGAUACGAGCAAAACUAUAAAACCAAUAAAAUUUAAAAUAACAUUAGUAAAAUAUAAUGGAUGAUGACGUUUCACCAAAACAAAACUGUCACUUGUAACAUGAUAACGGUACGGAGUGCUGUCUCGCAGGGUCUUUUGAGUUCCGCAUACACCUGGCAGGUGCUGUGUGUGCCACAUGGUGACUCAGGUCUCCCACUGCAUUUCUCAGUUCAGACUCUUUACUGUCAUUUGUUUAGUACACAGUGAUGUUAUUUGGUCUUCAUCUAUCUUGACUGAAUCAUUUCCCUAUGAAGUCAGUCUCUCUUCUCCAUAAGCCUCCCACAACUAAAGCAGAACCCGGCUCUACCGUGCAAGUAAACACAGUUGCAAACCUAGGCACUGAAAUGUCCUGGAAAAAUUUGGUUUUAAGGAAGUUAUAUUAAUAGAUUAAUAAUCAGAACAUGAAUAUUAACUUUUUAAAUUUUUCAUCAGCAUGAAAAAUGUCUAAUUCUCAUAGAAAACUGAUGGAUCCCCCACCAAACACACUCACACCCUCAGAUUCCCUCCACCUUCCCACACACACAAGACUUUUUCAUGAGGGUUAGUUAGCUGUGGCUGUAGCUGUGCUUUGGCUCCUGACGCACCUGGGUUCAGACCUUGGGCAUGUUUCUCAGCCUUUUCUGAACCUCAGGGUUUUCAUGUGUUAAACAGGGAUAAUCUCAUUGAAUACAAGAGAAAUAAAUGCAAUAAUACUCAUAAAGCAUGCAUAGUAAGUGUUUAUAAAAGGCAGCUACCAUUGCUUUGAUUAGAAAUACUACUAACAUUUAAGGACUUACUAUGUGCCUUCAACUUUGCUAUAAGCACUUUAUAUAUGUUAUCUUAUACAUUGAGUGAUAGAAUUAGGAUUCAAAUCCAAGUCUGACUUCAAAGCUUACACUCUUACAAAAAUAAUAUAAAACAUCAAUACAAGUUGCUUAUUUAAAAAGUUAUUUAAUAUUAAAUUGUAUUUUCUCAAAAAUUCUUAUUAUAAAAUUAAUGAUGUUUCUCUUUAGGGGAAAUGGCUAAGGUUUUUUUAAACAGUUGUGUAAUAUGCUAAGAAAUCAACACAAGAUCAAGAUAAAUACAAUCUUUUUUUUAAAGGCUGUCAUGCUAGGUUGUGGUCCAGUAAAAGGAUAUUAGGAUCAUUAGGCUCAACUUGUGCAUUACUGUUCUCUUGCACAUUUAUCAUCUGUAACUAAUGAUAACAUGAGAUUCUUCCUGAAUCUCAAAUUUAAUAGCUUUUUUGCAGAAAAAAGAUUUUCCCCCACCACUAUUAUAUUCCUUGAUAGUUCUGAGAAAUAGUCUACAAGCAUCUUAAUUUUCACCUGUGAAACCUAUUUUUAAAAAUUGUUUUGUCCUUUAAAAUAGUUUUGAGUAACUCUUUUCUCUAUUCUUAGUUUUCUAAAAUAAGUUUUGGAGUUCUGAAAAAUGAACAAGCAUACUUGUAAGCUGGGUUUUUUUUACUCUUUUGCGUUUUUUUCUAAUUGGGUGCUGGGAGAAAAUACCAGGAGAGAGCUAUAAGAGGAACUCAUUUAUUAACAGAGAUAGUAUGUAUCAAAUUCAAAUUAUUUCCCUACUUACUAAAACAUAUACUUGCACAAAUUAUUAAGGUAGUGAAGAUACAUGAAAUGUGAGGCUGUCACGGAAUUUUGUAAGGUCUGUUUUUAAAAAUAUUUUUCUUUUAUGACAUCCUUUAUAGAAGCAUAAUAAUAAUCUGUGUUAUGGAAAUUAUUGUGUUUUUGAUCCAGCAUCUUUAACCCAUCUGUAAGAUCUUUAAGUUCAGUGAAUGCAUGGCUCUCCAUACAUGUGUGUUAUCAAGAUAGAAGAUAUGCCCUGUGUGAUACCUCAUUGCCUCAUCCUGUAGCACAGCAUAAGAAAAUUGUCCUGGCUUCACAUUACAGAUAAGACCUAGUUCUACCUGAUUUUCUCCAUCUUAGCAGUCUGUUACUUGAUUUGGGUUGUGAGCCCUACUUCUCUUACUAAAUACAAAUAAGACCAGUUUAUUAUAACUUUGGAUGGAAUGGCCUCCCAUCUUUUGCUUCUUUAAAAUCCAAAUUUAUUUUUUAUAAGGAGGUAUCCUAAGCAUUUGACUAUUUCAUCAUGUCUUCUAGUUUAGAUACAUCUGACAUUUUUAUUUUGAAAUGCUUAUUGUAAAUUCUAACAUUGAUUUUUCUUUAAACAUUGUUUGUAGGUGGGUUGUUAUCUAGAAUUUCAUUUCUAAUAGUAAAGUAGGUGUUAAAACUUAUUAUAAGGGGGGAUAUUGGUUCCCAAACAGAUGAAAAAGUAGACGCCCAGGCAGGUGAAGGCAGGUUGGACUCCUAGCCAGAUCGUGUAGAUUGUAGUUAGUUUCAGGAUGACCUUUUGCCAUCUAUAGCUAGAGCUCUUUGGUUUAACUGUGUUUGCACAGCUGCUUGGCGUUGACAUUCCUUGUGUCCUCUAAAGAAGUUUUCUUUUUUUAAUUUGUUAUUUAUCUUUUUUUUUUUUUAUCUAAGUUGCAUUUGCUCAGCCAAGUUCCAGGGAGAACCAGAGUUCAAGAGUUAGCAGCAGAGGUUAUCAAUCAACUUAAAGUUUGAUUUUAUUUGAGAGAGAGAGCGGACACACGCACGUGCACGACAGUGGGGACAGGGGCAAAGGGAGAGGGAGAGAAUCUCAAGCCAACUCCACACUGAACGCAAGCCCGGUGCGGGGCUCCAUCUCACGACCCUGAGAUCAUGACCUGAGCCAAAACCAAGAGUCGGAGGCUUGACCACCUGAGCCACUGAGGCCCCCCUGGGCCUUAUGCUUGUCUUAUACUGCACCACCUCAAAAUGUAGCUGAAGGUAAAUUAUGAACUAGAAAGCGCAAUAUCCGACUAGAAAUAAUAAAUAUCAUUGUCACAUCCUUUACAUACCAAGAUUAACCCCCUGACUCUGGAUGUUGUAAGAAUUUGCCAGAAUUACAUCUUUGAAGAAAGGCUUUUGCUCACCCAAAUGUAAUAUAAUAAAUGCAAGGACUUUGCCAAGGCAAAUUCCUGAAAAGAACACAGUGCAACAGAAGCAGUUCACAGAGUCCUGUGCGUUUUGGUCAAUGAUUACAUCCUGUUGCAGUGUUAGCAAGGGUUGGCAACCAACCUGGAGAUAGAGAAAAGAAGUGACGAAAAUGUCAAGAUUCCUCAAGCAGAUAUGUCACGGAAUGAAUUAGAGUAGACUAGGACAUUGUGUUCGGCGAUAAAGGCCAGGAGGUUUGGCCAUCUCUAUACCAAAUUAUUACAGUCUUAUUUGAAGAAUCUCACUUUGCUGUGAAGUGUUGAAAACAAACUACAUUCCAGCAGAGUGUUGUUAGUCCUGACCUUUAUUCUGGAUGACCUAUGGACAGAAACAGCAUACUGUACUUUCUUGUCUUAUAGUUUUUAACACUUUUUGUGUUUUUCAAAUAAACAUUUAGGACACGUGGUAUGACAGUUGCAAGUGAGCAUUUGAGGAGACGAAUUUUAUUUGAAUUUGCAGCUAUUCCAGAGAGAUUACAUGGUAAUCGUGUCCUUGUUUGGUUAUGGUUCUUAUAAGGUAUGAACUUGCCGAGAUUUUCCAGAGAGAAUCAGAUCUGAGAGUAUGUUGAGCUGAACUGAAUUUUGCAACAUGUCUAAGAACACUAAGGGUGCUCCUGAGUUGGAUUUUUAACUCUCUUCACAUCAGGUGUGAGGAAGGCACACAGGAAUAGAAAAUGCACGUUCUCCAUGUUUUACACGGGAAAUUUGGUAACAGAAAUCUCCUGAGUUCAGCCCACUACAUGGUUCCCAAAGCACUUUUUCCCACUGGUGAGCCAAGAGGCUCUGCCCUCUUUUCUCAACCUCUUACCGGAGAAACUGAUACUCUUGACCCAAUUAUCAGGCUUUGACCUUUGGCACAUUUGUCCUCUUGUCCUUACACAUAAGCACACUUGAAAAAUGGGCUAGGUAAGAAAGAAAAGAAAAAUUGGUAUCAAUGAACCAGCCAAAGGAAAAUGAGGAAAGGAACUACCAAGAAAUUGAAGGAGGCAGAUGGAAAUGGAUAACGUGGUAGGUGGGGGGAAGAGUUUUCCUGAAGAACAUGCUGUAUCAGAGGAUAACUAUGACCACCUCAAAGAAAGAAUUCUGAUAGAACUUCUUUCUUCCCAGGGGUCUCUGAUCGUAGGACACACAGCAGUGAGUCUGGGAGAAGAAGUGGAGGUAUAAGGUCACAUUUCUGAGCGUCCUAAGUUCUGCUUCACGGUCCUUCGAGUUAUUUAAAAUCAUCAGUAAGCAGUGAUAACCUCAGAGAGAGGCUGAAAUAGUGAGGUGAGGUAAAUAAGAGUAGCAGGUGUUUAUAAUCUCUUACCACAUGCCAGGCAUUAUUCUAAAUAGGUGAACACAUUUGGUUUUCCCAACAAUCCUGUGAGGCUAGAACUCCUGUUAUCCCCAUUCUGCUGAUUAGGAAAUGGAAGCACAAAGAAUUAAGGCCCACAGUUACAUUAGUGGCAGGGCCAGGAUUUGAACCUGGUAUUAAAGUAUCUAGGCCGGGCACCUGGGUGGCUCAGUUGGUUGGGCGACUGCCCUCAGCUCAGGUCAUGAUCCUGGAGUCCCGGGAUCGAGUCCCGCAUCGGGCUCCUUGCUCAGCGGGGAGUCUGCUUCUUCCUCUCCCGCUCCCCCCUCUCGUGUUCACUCUCUCUCUCUCUCAAAUAAAUAAAUAAAAUCUUUAAAAAUAAAUAAAUAAAGUAUCUAGGCCUCCAAUUUGCCAACUAAUAGUGAUAGGCAGUUACUUUCCUAAAGAUACCCUGUGAAUUGGUGGUGGGAUCGAUGGGAAUGCAAACUCUCAGGCUCCCCAAACAGCUUGAUGGACCCCAUAACUGGUACCAGUGUUGAAGGCUGUUGAACACUGUUGAAGUGUUUAAUGUUGAGCUUUAUAUGAAGUAACCAAGAAUGUGCUAGCAAUUAAAUGAGCAUGUAUACUUGAUCUUAGAACUGAGUAUUUUGUCCUAUCAUUUAGCAUUUGCCCUUCCUCUGACAAGACUUGCCUUGGCAACCACCCAGAUAACUGCAUGUCCCAAUAUGAAAUAAGAAAUAGGCCCUCUCCUGUGGUUACUUGGAACAGAAUGUUCUUGAUAUGGAGAGACUAGUUUCCAGAGUUAAAUGUAUAGUUACAGUUAGAGAAAUAUAUAUAUUUGGUACAAUAGUACUUUGAAAGGGUUAUUUAUUUAUUCUCUUUGGACAAUUUCUAGAUGUGCUUUGACCAAAUUAAUCAGAUGAUUUUCUCUUUAUCUCAGCCCCAUUCACUCUAUUAGAGAAUGGAACCUCAGUUACACAAUUUCAUGUUGGAUGUGGGACUCAAGCUGAGCUGCAAAACAUACGUGUUUCCAUCAUCUUUAGUUUUUUCAGCAUUAGUUUCCAUGCUGCAUGUAAAGAAACAAGUUUUUCAUUCAGACCUCAAGAUUCCAACAAUAAGGCCCCAGGCCAUUUUUACAACCUCGUCUUUUCCCCACUACUUUCCUUUACCUCCAAAGAAAUCAGGCUAGGGGCACUUGGGUGGCUCAGAUGGUUAAGCAUCUGCCUUCGGCUCAGGUCAUGAUCCCAAUGGGGUCUUGGGAUCGAGUCCCACAUCAGGCUCCUGGCUUAGCAAGGAGCCUGCUUCUCCCUCUCCCUCUGCCUCUCUCCCUGCUCAUGCUUUCUCUCUCUCUGUCUCUGUAUCUCUGUGUCUCAGAUGAAUAAAUAAAAUCUUAAAAAAAAAAAUCAGGCUAAAUCUUACCAGAGUUUCUCCAUUUCUGAAUUUAUACUGUUCCUCUGAGUAUCCUUUAAGCCCUGUCAUAAACCCUAUCCUCCAGGAAACCCCCAAUCUUCUGAACCUCAUUGAUCUCCCCCACACUGAACUUGAUCCCUAUUUUAAGGCCCUUACUGUUAACACCCCUUGUAGAAGAGUCAGUUGUGUUCUUGUCCCAUGCCCCAUGUUCUUCAGGCAGAGGACUGUGUGGUUUCCCUGCACUCCCUGUGCAACACCUUUCUUAAACAGCCUAGCUCUGUGCCUUGCCAGAUAUGUACGUUGUGAGGUCAUACGUCAUAGCUAUCAAAUGUUAAUCAGGGAAGGAACCUUAGAGAUUAACUAGUGUCACCUUUUCAUUUUAUAGAUGAGAAAAAGAGAUGUGCAGAGGCCAACCACCUAAGGUCAUUGGUGAGAUGGUGGCAGAGCCAGGUCACCUGACUCCCUGCAAAUUACCACCUUCUAAAAUGUGGAGAGGGGCACAUGAUGUCAAGAGAGAAUAUUUUGGGAGUUGUGAAAUGAUAUGGAUUGUUUAUAUCUUGAUGGGAAUAAUAGAGCAGAGGGGGGGAAAUUGAGGACACAAUGAUUGCAGGAGGGAAAUUGUUGAGUAUGUGAGAGGGGAUGGGAUCCAGUCCAGGACUCAAAAAAUAGCCUGGACAGGGUACCCAUCAGGACCGUAGGGGACAGUGAGUAUGUGGGUAUAGUGAGGUAUAUUGGUAGAUAUCAAGAGAAUGUGGAAAUUUUUUCCUGAACUUUCCUGUUUUUUCUUUUGAAUAAGAGGGUUUUCAGCUGAAAAUGAAGAGGAAGGAAAAGGAAUUGGAGGUUUGAAGUGAGAAGAGAUAAAAGUCAUCUAGGGGAGUGGGAAAAAGGAGUCGAUGACAGAAAUAUAGCAUGCGAUGGACAGCACUUACCACUUGAGUUUUGUGAUCAAGCAGUGUUUUCCAGUGGCGAUCCUACUGGCCUUUUGAGCACGCAUGUUGCUGGGCAUUUAGCAUCCCUGGCCCUUAGUCAUAUCCCUUGAUGAUUGUGAUGAUCAAAAAUGCUCCCUCUUGCAUUUCCAAAUACCUGCUAGGGGCUCUGAACCAUUCCUCAUUGAGAAGAACUGGGACAAUAGUCACAAGGGAGCAUGCUUUUCUUUAGUCGCAUUCAGCUCCUCAGAUGCUGGCAGGAAGUAGGCAGAGAUCUGAAUUUAGGAGUUUUCGGGUGUGACAGUUAAGAACACGGGCAGGAGAGAGGGGCAGAGGGAUUGAGGGUAUGUGUAAUGGAGUGAUUAUCACAGUCAGGUUUUCUGAACAACAAAAUACCUGCCACUGGCUCAAAGCAACUCAGGAACACCACAAUGGUGGAGGAUUUCUGGCUACCAUUCAGGGACAUUUGGACAUGUGCCCAAUUUCUGGCUAUUAUGAACAUGCUUAUACAUAUUUUUGGGUGGACGUACACAUUCAUUUCUCUUGGGAAUAGAGCCAGGGUGGACUUGAUGGGUCACAGGGAAUACGAUGUUCAUUAUCACUAUUAAAAACUGCUGCUCAUUUGUUUAAUAUAUUUGCAUAUAUACCUACCUAUGACUCAGCCAUUCCAUUCCAAGUAUUUAUCCAAGAGAAAAUAAGGCAUAUAUCCACACAAAGAUUUGUACACUAAUAUUCGUAGAAACUUUAUUUGUAAUAGCAAAGAACUGUAAAUGACACAAAUGCUCAUCAACAGGUGAAUAAAACAAUAAUUGGGGAUACAGCCGUACACUUGAAUACUACUCAGCAAUAAAAAACAAACUAUUAAUAGAUACAUCAACAUGGAUGAAUUUUAAAAUAAUUAUUUGAGUAAAAGAAGCUAGAUACAAAAUACCUACUGUAUGAUUCCGUGAAUAUAGAAGACAAACCAAUCCAUAGUGAUGGAAAGCAGAUCCGUGGUUGCCUGAGGAUGAGGUGGUGGAGAAUAGAGAGCAGGGAUGGAUUCCAAAAGGCUUGAGGAAACUUCUGGGGGUGGUGGAUGUGUUUAUGUUCUUGACUGUGGUAAUUGCUUCAUGGGUGCAUACAUAAGUCAAACUCAUCAAAUUAUACACAUUAAAAAUACGCAAUUUUAUACAUGAAUCAUACCUCAAAGCUAAAAAAUUAAAAACCUAUUGAACAGUUUUCCAAAGUGGUUGAACCAAUUUAUACUCCAUCAGCAAUGUAUGAGAAUUCUAGCUGUCUACCACUUUUGGUCUUAAUCAGUUGUUUUAAUUUUGGUGGUGGUGUGGUGGUAUCACAUUAUGGUUUCCACUUGCAAUUUCCUGAUCGAAUGACAUUGAGCACCUUUUCAAAAUGCGUAUUGGUCAUUUGAAUAUCCUCUUUUGUUAAAUGCCAACUUCAGGUGUUUUCCCAUUUUUCUGUUGGACUCUUAGUCUUCUUAUUUUGAUUUGUAGGUCUGUAUAUAUUCUGGAUGAGGCCCUUGUCAUGCUGGGGGAGAGAGGGCGUUAUCUUCCAGUCUGUCACAUGCCUUUUCAUUCUCUGAAUGUUGUCUUUUGAUGAAUAGUUCUUAGUUUUAAUGAAAUCCAAUUUUUUAAGUUUUUCUCUUGUUUAGUGGUUUUUAUAUCUUGUUUUAAAAAUGUUUGCCUACCUAAAGUUAUGGAGAUAUCUCCUGUUAUUUUUUUUUUUCCCUAGGACCUUAUUGCUUUAACGAUCAUAUAUAGGCCUACAUGUUUAAAAAAAAUUUUUUUUUGGUAUACUGUGAAAUAGAGUGUGAAAUAAAGGAUCAAUGAACUUUUUA